UACCGAGUGAGGGUUCGCUUGAGCCCAACCUCCCACCCGUGUUUACUGUUACCGCGUUGCCUCGGGGGGCCCACUGGGGCCUUGGGCCCGGGCGCCGGGGGGCAUCUGCCCCCGGGCCCGCGCCCGCCGAAGCGCUCCCGAACCCUGUCUGAACAGUGAGUCUGAGUACGAUUGAAUCAUUAAAACUUUCAACAACGGAUCUCUUGGUUCCGGCAUCGAUGAAGAACGCAGCGAAAUGCGAUAAGUAAUGUGAAUUGCAGAAUUCCGUGAAUCAUCGAAUCUUUGAACGCACAUUGCGCCCCCUGGCAUUCCGGGGGGCAUGCCUGUCCGAGCGUCAUUUCUGCCCUCCAGCACGGGUGGGUGGUGGGUGCUGUCCCCCCGGGGACCCCCCCCAAAGGCAGUGGCGGCGCCGCGUCGGGUCCUCGAGCGUAUGGGGCUUUGUCACCCGCUCGGGAAGGACUCCCCGGCGCUGGUCUUCCUCUUAGGCGGUCCUUCGGGGCUGUCUUCCUUCCGGUUGACCUCGGAUCAGGUAGGGUUACCCGCUGAACUUAAGCAUAUCAAUAAGCGGAGGAAAAGAAACCAACAGGGAUUGCCUCAGUAACGGGAGUGAAGCGGCAAGAGCUCAAAUUUGAAAUCUGGCUCCUUCGGGGCCCGAGUUGUAAUUUGGAGAGGAUGCUUCGGGCGUGGCCCCGUCUAAGUGCCCUGGAACGGGCCGUCAUAGAGGGUGAGAAUCCCGUCUGGGAUGGGUGGCAUGCCCGUGUGAAGCUCCUUCGAAGAGUCGAGUUGUUUGGGAAUGCAGCUCUAAGA
rnacentral:rRNA from 1 species